AUAAGUUUCACAGGGUAACUGUACACAGGGUAUUAAAAGGAGCCUCCUUUGAACCCUUCUGAACUUGUCAUCUCACCAUUUUCUUGAUAUUCCGAUACUUCCUGUCUGUUGAUAGAUGGUGAAUAGUUGGUGUCUUUUAAUUUUCUAAGCUCUGCUGCUGUUUUCAAAGAUUACCAUCACACCCAUCACGCCAGAUAUCUCUUUAUAAAGUUGGUGUGUCCUAUUCCAGAUUAAUAUUUUGCUCCUUGCCUCUCUUCUUGGUACUAGUCCCACUUUUGUUGUACCUUUUAUAUAUUGGGAAGCCAGGCCUGCACAUGGCACUUAACAUUUGGGCAUACAACAAUUAUAUACAAGACUCACAGGGGAAUGGAAGGGCCCAGCCCCCUUUUCAAGUAAGCAUUUGUUCUGCAGAGGAUGAUGGAAAUCUCCAGCACCAGGAAAUCUGAAAAACAAGCAGCUUUGUAUUUCCAGCUGACAUGUGUUAUGACCUCAAGUUACUGGAUUGCCAUUUGAGAAGCUGUUUUCCAAAAUGGAAUGUUUUAGUCCUGCUGCCUGCUGUCCACUACAGUAAUUUGAAGUGAUGCUUUGAGAGACCAAAAAGUAAAACCAGCUCCAUGGAUGGAGCCUUGAGCUGCCCUGCUGGGACCCUCUUCCCCAGUGCUCAGCAGCUGUUGGUGCUCAGGCCCCAUUCCUCACUCCCCACCUGUGCUGUGCUGCAGCAAUGCUGUGUCCGGCCCCAUGCCUGGCUCAUCCCAGCCCUGGCAUGGCUUUAGAC